UAGGGAAUCUUCGGCAAUGGACGAAAGUCUGACCGAGCAACGCCGCGUGAGUGAAGAAGGUUUUCGGAUCGUAAAACUCUGUUGUUAGAGAAGAACAAGGACGUUAGUAACUGAACGUCCCCUGACGGUAUCUAACCAGAAAGCCACGGCUAACUACGUGCCAGCAGCCGCGGUAAUACGUAGGUGGCAAGCGUUGUCCGGAUUUAUUGUGCGUAAAGCGAGCGCAGGCGGUUUCUUAAGUCUGAUGUGAAAGCCCCCGGCUCAACCGGGGAGGGUCAAUGGAAACUGGGGGACUUGAGUGCAGAAGAGGAGAGUGGAAUUCCAUGUGUAGCGGUGAAAUGCGUAGAUAUAUGGAGGAACACCAGUGGCGAAGGCGGCUCUCUGGUCUGUAACUGACGCUGAGGCUCGAAAGCGUGGGGAGCAAACAGG
rnacentral:rRNA from 1 species